GACGAACGCUGGCGGCGUGCUUAACACAUGCAAGUCGAACGGAAAGGCCCUGCUCUUGCGGGGUGCUCGAGUGGCGAACGGGUGAGUAACACGCGUGUAACCUGCCCCUGUCUUUGGGAUAACUCCUGGAAACUGGGGCUAAAACCGGAUAGGAGCUCCUGCUGCACGUGGGGGGUUGGAAAGUUUCGGCGGUUGGGGAUAGACUCGCGGCUUAUCCGCUUGUUGGUGGGGUAGUGGCUUACCAAGGCUUCGACGGGUAGCCGGCCUGAGAGGUUGACCGGCGACAUUGGUACUAAGGUACGCACCAGACUCCUACGGGAGGCAGCAGUGGAGAAUAUUACGGAGUGAGCGGAAGCGAGAGGCAAAAACGCCGCGAGCGGAAUAACGGCUUUCGAGUGGAGAACCGCUUUCGCCUUUAACGAAGCAUGAGUGACGGUAAUUGAUAAAAAAGCACCGGCUAACUACGUG
rnacentral:rRNA from 1 species